UACGGAGGGGGCUAGCGUUGUUCGGAAUUACUGGGCGUAAAGCGCACGUAGGCGGCUUUGUAAGUUAGAGGUGAAAGCCCGGGGCUCAACCCCGGAAUAGCCUUUAAGACUGCAUCGCUUGAACACGGGAGAGGUGAGUGGAAUUCCGAGUGUAGAGGUGAAAUUCGUAGAUAUUAGGAAGAACACCAGUGGCGAAGGCGGCUCACUGGCCCGGUACUGACGCUGAGGCGCGAAAGCGUGGGGAGCAAACAGG
rnacentral:rRNA from 1 species